GAAGCGGCAACAGCUCAAAUUUGAAAUCUGACCCUUGAGGGUCCGAGUUGUAAUUUGCAGAGGGUGUUUCGGGUACGGUGUCGGUUUAAGUCCUUUGGAACAGGGUGUCAUAGAGGGUGAGAACCCCGUAUGUGACCGGUCGCCAAACCCAUGUGAAACCCCUUCGACGAGUCGAGUUGUUUGGGAAUGCAGCUCAAAAUGGGUGGUAAAUUUCAUCUAAAGCUAAAUAUUGGCCAGAGACCGAUAGCGCACAAGUAGAGUGAUCGAAAGAUGAAAAGCACUUUGGAAAGAGAGUCAAACAGCACGUGAAAUUGUUGAAAGGGAAGCGCUUGCGACCAGACCUGCUCGCGGGUGAUCAGCGGUGCUUUUCGCGCCGUGCACUCGUCCGCGAUCAGGCCAGCAUCGGUUCAGGCGGCCGGAUAAAGACUCGGAGAAUAUAGCUCCCUCCGGGGAGUGUUAUAGCUCCUUGUGCAAUACGGCCAGCCGGGACCGAGGACCGCGC
rnacentral:rRNA from 1 species